rnacentral:rRNA from 1 species
GACGUAGGGCGCGAGCGUUGUCCGGAUUUAUUGGGCGUAAAGAGCUCGUAGGCGGCUUGUUGCGUCGACUGUGAAAACCCGCGGCUCAACCGCGUGGCUUGCAGUCGAUACGGGCAGGCUUGAGUUCGGUAGGGGAGACUGGAAUUCCUGGUGUAGCGGUGAAAUGCGUAGAUAUUGGGAGGAACACCAGUGGCGAAGGCGGCUCACUGGACUGGUACUGACGCUGAGGCGCGAAAGCGUGGGGAGCAAACGGG